UAAAAAAUCUAUUUUUUUUCAUCAAAAUUAGGUUCCUAAAAGAUCAGUCUACUGAUCGAUCAAAAUUCUAAAAUUAAAAGAAAAAAAGUAAUGUGAAAUCAAAAACCCUAGCAACCAUCUUCCCUAACAACAAUCUUCCCUCAUAACGAUCUCAGGAAACGCACCGGUCUGCCUAGCAGGAAACACAACCUAGAUCUUUGUGUUUUCUUAGAACAGCGAAGGCCUGCUUAGCAGUGAUCUCCACUCAAUCUCUAUCUUCUAUUCACUCGAAGCUGAGGACAAAAUUCUGUGACCAAUACACUAUAUGGAGAACAACAGAGUUAUACAUAUAUGAAUCUUUAUACAUAUGCUGGGAUAGUGCUGCUUUUGAUGAUAAAACAGAGUUAUUUUAUACAUAUCUUCUGAGUUAUUUUAAUGUUUGUGUCGUUUCCUCUCUAUAUAGAUAUUGGAAAGCUGAUUCGCAUUCAGUUUUAACCUUUUGGCAUCUACAAUAGUAUUAAUAGCUACCACGUCUGAAAUGCUUUAGUUGUUCUGAGUUAUUUUAAUGUUUGCAUCGUUUCUUCCCUAGACAAAAAUUGAAAAACUAAUAUGCAUUCAGUUUUAGCCA